AGGAAGGAAGGAAGAAAGGAGAAGCAAUCACUUCUGCCUGGGACAUACCGUAGUGUGGCCCUUUCUGUUUUCUUCCCAUUUGUAAUUGUGUCAAUCCUUCUCAUCUAGUAAACUCUACAGAAGUUUACAGAACUCUAUAGAAGCUCUACAGGAGUCAUGGCACAAACUAGAGACCCCACUGCAAAGAGGAAGUAGUUUAUCCAAAGAUGUGCAAGGAAAUAAAGACAUGUUAUGAGGGCUAAAUCAGGCAGCCUGGUCCCAGAAUCCUGCUUCUAAAGAGAAGUCCAAGCUGGGGAAGACUAAGGUAUAAGUGCCCCUGAUGUACAAAAUGACCACAGCCAUCCCUUUUCAUCGUCAAACUCCAGCAAUGGCUGCUUUUAGAAAGAAAUUUCAUGAUGGAUUUUACAUUCUGCAUAUGGGAGAAACAAAUCCGAUAGAAUACAAUGGACUACAUGUGGGUGCUGAGAGCCAGCAUGGGUUCUCUUAGAGCCUGCCACCUGGAAGAAAGUGAUUUCUGAAGAUAGAAGCUGGUUACGUAACGCUGAUGUACAAAAAUGAAGAGAGGAAUCAUGCAGGAUCAUUCAGGCUUUCAGCCUGAAGCAGAACCAAGCUGGGGGAGGAGGAGUUUUACUCUGAGAACUUUUGGUUGGAGAAAAGAAGUGCCAAAGGGAUGAGACCACGCCUGAAGCUCAAAACUGAACCAGACUUAGGGGUGCAG
rnacentral:lncRNA from 1 species